AUUGAACGCUGGCGGCAGGCCUAACACAUGCAAGUCGAGCGGAUGAAGGGAGCUUGCUCCUGGAUUCAGCGGCGGACGGGUGAGUAAUGCCUAGGAAUCUGCCUGGUAGUGGGGGAUAACGUCCGGAAACGGGCGCUAAUACCGCAUACGUCCUGAGGGAGAAAGUGGGGGAUCUUCGGACCUCACGCUAUCAGAUGAGCCUAGGCCGGAUUAGCUAGUUGGUGGGGUAAAGGCCUACCAAGGCGACGAUCCGUAACUGGUCUGAGAGGAUGAUCAGUCACACUGGAACUGAGACACGGUCCAGACUCCUCCGGGAGGCAGCAGUGGGGAAUAUUGGACUAUGGGAGAAAGCCUACUCCAGCCAUGCCGCGUGUGUGAAGAAGGUCUUCGGAUUGUAAAGCACUUUACGUUGGGAGGAAGGGCAGUAAGUUAAUACCUUGCUGUUUUGACGUUACCAACCGAAUAAGCACCGGCUAACUUCGUG
rnacentral:rRNA from 1 species